rnacentral:rRNA from 1 species
UACGUAGGUGGCAAGCGUUGUCCGGAGUUACUGGGCGUAAAGGGCAUGCAGGCGGUCGGACGCGUUUCGGGUGACAGCGGGUGGCUUAACUACCCGAGUGGUCGAAAGACGGUUUGACUUGAGGACGCGAGAGGGACACGGAAUUCCGGGUGGAGUGGUGAAAUGCGUAGAUAUCUGGAGGAACACCGGUGGCGAAGGCGGCAUCCUGGACCGACACUGACGCUCAGGCACGAAAGCGUGGGGAGCAAACAGG